rnacentral:rRNA from 1 species
UACGUAGGGUGCGAGCGUUGUCCGGAAUUAUUGGGCGUAAAGAGCUCGUAGGCGGUGUGUCACGUCGGCCGUGAAAACCUGCAGCUUAACUGUGGGCGUGCGGUCGAUACGGGCAUCACUGGAGUUCGGCAGGGGAGACUGGAAUUCCUGGUGUAGCGGUGAAAUGCGCAGAUAUCAGGAGGAACACCGGUGGCGAAGGCGGGUCUCUGGGCCGAUACUGACGCUGAGGAGCGAAAGCCAGGGUAGCAAACGGG